rnacentral:rRNA from 1 species
CUACGGGUUGCUCCAGUGGGGAAUAUUGCACAAUGGGGGAAACCCUGAUGCAGCAACGCCGCGUGAGUGAUGAAGGCCUUCGGGUUGUAAAGCUCUGUUUCCAGGGACGAUAAUGACGGUACCUGGGGAGGAAGCCACGGCUAACUACGUGCCAGCAGCCGCGGUAAUACGUAGGUGGCAAGCGUUGUCCGGAUUUACUGGGCGUAAAGGGAGCGUAGGCGGAUUUUUAAGUGGGAUGUGAAAUCCCCGGGCUCAACCCGGGGGCUGCAUUCCAAACUGGAAAUCUAGAGUGUCGGAGAGGAAAGCAGAAUUCCUAGUGUAGCGGUGAAAUGCGUAGAGAUUAGGAAGAAUAUCAGUGGCGAAGGCGGCUUUCUGGACGAUAACUGACGCUGAGGCUCGAAAGCGUGGGGAGCAAACAGGAUUAGAUACCCUCGUAGUC